CGAUCGAGCAACCUGGAAGGUAUGACUUGACUUGGGGAUGACUGGAGUCCAUCUAAUGAGCAGAGCCAUACAGGGAUUCUCUGCGUCUCAUAGCCAAGGAAAGAUAACAGAAAGAACAGGGCACCCAGGAGGUCUGCACGGCCGACAACACCAGCAACCUUAAAAGAAGGAGAAGAAAAAUAGAUUUAGGACUUGAGCUAGCUGCUCCCAAGAGAGCGGGACUGGCAGGGUCGUGCUGAUGGCCGUUCUGGGAGCAGGACACAGUCGGCGAUGCACGUGGGCCAUGAGAGCUCUGUCACAGCACACCGCACCCUAGAGCUCAGAGGCCUGUGCCGCUGAUAUCCCCAAAGUGGAUUUAUAAUUGGAAAAUGUUAUCAGCCCAAAGGGCAUAAUAUUUACUAAAGAAAAUUUGAUUGGAAACAUGAAGGAAAGCUGGGAAAUUAAUGUUGCAGGUCACUGGGCAAAUAGAGA